AACGAACGCUGGCGGCAGGCCUAACACAUGCAAGUCGAACGCCCUAGCAAUAGGGAGUGGCGCACGGGUGCGUAACGCGUGGGAAUAUGCCCUUCACUGCGGAAUAACGUUUGGAAACGAACGCUAAUACCGCAUAAUGACUCCGGUCCAAAGAUUUAUCGGUGAAGGAUUAGCCCGCGUUAGAUUAGCUAGUUGGUGAGGUAAGAGCUCACCAAGGCAACGAUCUAUAGCUGGUCUGAGAGGAUGAUCAGCCACACUGGGACUGAGACACGGCCCAGACUCCUACGGGAGGCAGCAGUGAGGAAUAUUGGACAAUGGGCGCAAGCCUGAUCCAGCCAUGCCGCGUGAGUGAAGAAGGCCUUCGGGUUGUAAAGCUCUUUCAGUUGUAAAGAUAAUGACGGUAACAACAGAAGAAGCCCCGGCUAAAUUCGUGCCAGCAGCCGCCGUAA
rnacentral:rRNA from 1 species